AAGUCGUAACAAGGUUUCCGUAGGUGAACCUGCGGAAGGAUCAUUAACACUUUUCCCCUUUCCCUAACCUGAGGCAGAGUGACGAACGAGACGUUGAAAAAGGUCUUUGUUCGAAGCUCUCUUCAGACCACCCCUUUGUGUGCACUUGUUGAGAGGGAGAAGCACUCUUUGAGCGAAAGCUUUUUGGGUGUAGAUCUCUCUUACUUUUUUCCAUUUUUUAAUUUUUUUUUACCCCUUUUCUAAUGCGAUAGACUGAAAUAAUGACCUAUUGGAAGGGUCUGAAACCUCCAAAAAUUGUAAUACAACUCUUAGCAACGGAUAUCUAGGCUCUC
rnacentral:misc_RNA from 1 species